GAUGAACGCUAGCGGCAGGCUUAACACAUGCAAGUCGAGGGGUAUAGUAGCAAUACUAGAGACCGGCGCACGGGUGCGUAACGCGUACGCAAUCUACCUUUCACAGAGGGAUAGCCCAGAGAAAUUUGGAUUAAUACCUCAUAGUAUAGUAUCUUGGCAUCAAGGAACUAUUAAAGUUAAAACGGUGAAAGAUGAGCAUGCGUAACAUUAGUUAGUUGGUAAGGUAACGGAUUACCAGGACUACGAUGGGUAGGGGUCCUGGGAGGGAGAUCCCUCGCAAGGGAAAUGAGCACAGGAGAAGACACCAUCGGGAGAGAGUAGUGAGGAAUGUUGGAUGCGGGACGAAAGCCGGUUCCCACCAAGCUGCGUGCAAGAUAACGAUCCUUUAGAUUUUAAACGGCUUUUGUACAGAAACAAACUCCGCGGCGGUUCAGGAAUUGACGGUACUGUAAGAAUAAGAAGCGGCUAACUCCGUGCCAGCAGCCGCCGUAA
rnacentral:rRNA from 1 species